CCUGGUCUACAAAGUGAGUUCUAGGACAGCCAGGGAUAUACAAAGAAACCCUGUCUGGGGGUGGGGGGGAGAAUAAAACAUAGUAGUUAUAUAAAUAUUAGGUCUUAAAGCAUAGUCUUAGAAAAUGUUUUCCGUGCUCAUUGCCCCCUGAUAAGCUUCAUGUUAUAAAGUAAAAUUAACAACUCUUCUGGGACCUGACAUUAUUUUUUAUUGACAUAGAUUUUUUUUAAUUGUCAUGAAUAUACUCCAGAUAUGAAGACUGAGUAAAAGUUAUACAACUAUGUGAAUUAUAUUGAUUAUGGCUCCCAAGUGUAAAAUUUUAUUUUACUUCUUCCUGAUGUAAGUAUAUUGUCAUUGGAUCCAGGACUACCGAGUACAGCCAUGUUGUUUGCUCAUGUCAGUGGACACCAGGGACCAAGGGAGCCCACAGCCCAGCCUUGCCCCCCAAAGUCAAGUUUUCAAGAUUACAGCUCAAAGAUGGCUUCCUUCUCCUUUUCACAAUAUGCUAAAAUGAAUGAAGCAAACAUCUAGAAUCCUUCUGUAACACUGCAUAAUUUUUCAACUUCCCUGACACUCCAAUAGACUAAUUCAUAUUAUGUUCUUUUCAGAGAUUAUUGUUUCACAUAAAUGAUUCUCUAAGUGUGGUUCAGAGAGCCUUUGAGGACAGCUGCAAUGUCUGGAGGGAGCCCUGGGCUGUAACACAGCAGAUUACAAAACAAACAGAAAACAAACUAAAUUAAUGAUGUUAUUUCGGAUUAUAUCCUGCCACCAGAUCUUAAGAAAUGACUGCAUUGAAUAUUGGAGUCAUAUGAAAAAAACAUUUAAAUUAUUUGAAGCGACUUUUGAAAAGUUUUGUGACUUUCUCAAUCAGGCGUCUUUGUGAAGCCUAAAAUAUUAUUCUUCCAUUUUAGCAAAUAUAACAGCCUGAAUACAAAUAGGUAGUAUGAAUCCAUCUCUAUCAAACCAAAACUUCAAUAAUAGCUGCAAAAAUUGUAAACUAACAUCAUUUUUACAGUAAAUCCAUUUGCCCUAGAAGACUGCUAUUCUGCAAGAAAUAUUGUUAAUAUGUCAUGAUUUUAUUUUUAUUUUAGAAUAAAUGAGUAAAUAUUUGACCAUUCUCCAUUUAAAUUUCUAAUAGCUAUUUCAUCCAGUUGGCAUAAGUAAAAUCACUUUGGAAACCUGCAUCAUUUUUAAGGGUACCGGAGGCCCUUAAAAUAACAGACGACAGACACUUAAGAACAGCUGUCCUAAGCUCUCAGAAAGUUUAAUGUUCCUUUGUAAGAACAGCGAUGUUCCAUGGAUCAGACAAAAGCACACACAUACACAUUUGAUUGCUUAUUUUAGAAAAAAGAUCCAAACCCGUUUUUCAAGAAUUACUUCAGUGUUCACAUUCGAUUUGUCAUGAGCCAGUCUACAGGUGCAGAUGUGUUGACUCAAGAAGGCAAACAGAGAGAGCGAGAGAGAGGGGCGCCGCAUUGUAAAGGGCACGCCAGUGGCUGUCAGGAUGGUUUUAAUUAGCAGUAAGGCACUCUUGGUCCCAUUUUGUGUGCACUUCAAAAUGUUAGUUGUCCACAGAGAUGCCUCACAGAUGAGAGACUACGUGAGCCUGCUUCAAAUGCAGCUGGGACAUACGCUUUUUAAGGAAGAUAGCAGACAGGACUCCUAGGGAAGUGAUGCCAUAUGAAUUAGGAGCUGUUUUAUGAGAGAUGCUGGACAGCUGCUCUGCUUCUAAUGGGUAGCAGAAAGCACCUAAGACAGCAGAAUGGGUCUUAGAAUUCUGACACAGGCACAUUCUCAUUGGUCACUGAUUUUCUCUCUCCCUCUGUCUCCGUCAUACACAUACAGUUGUACAUGCUUCCCCAUUUAUAAAAUUGGGAAAUAGUCUUAUCUUCAGAUAUAGCUCUUGCUCUGGCAGCCAUGCUGUUGGCAGUAGAAUAUAACUUAGCACAGUGGCUAAAGACCAGGCUUUGAAGUCAGUUGGAUACACUUAGACCCAAUUCCUGCCUCCACCAUUCCCUGGUUGUAGCUUGACAGGUUGGUGUAUUGAGACUUGUUUUCUGUGUGAAAUAAUGAUUAAAACUGUUCCCCCCCCC
rnacentral:lncRNA from 1 species